rnacentral:rRNA from 1 species
GAUGAACGCUGGCGGCGUGCCUAAUACAUGCAAGUCGAGCGAACGGACGAGAAGCUUGCUUCUCUGAUGUUAGCGGCGGACGGGUGCGUAACACGUGGAUAACCUACCUAUAAGACUGGGAUAACUUCGGGAAACCGGAGCUAAUACCGGAUAAUAUUUUGAACCGCAUGGUUCAAAAGUGAAAGACGGUCUUGCUGUCACUUAUAGAUGGAUCCGCGCUGCAUUAGCUAGUUGGUAAGGUAACGGCUUACCAAGGCAACGAUGCAUAGCCGACCUGAGAGGGUGAUCGGCCACACUGGAACUGAGACACGGUCCAGACUCCUACGGGAGGCAGCAGUAGGGAAUCUUCGGCAAUGGGCGAAAGCCUGACGGAGCAACGCCGCGUGAGUGAUGAAGGUCUUCGGAUCGUAAAACUCUGUUAUUAGGGAAGAACAUAUGUGUAAGUAACUGUGCACAUCUUGACGGUACCUAAUCAGAAAGCCACGGCUAACUACGUG